CCAUCAUCUGCAUUCUGGGCUUUUCGUUUUGGACUAGAUGAUAUGGUUGGAGUUUCUCAGAUGGGACAUAACCCCUUGGUCCUGCAUGGCACAUAAGACAGUUGUGGUCAAGUUGGCAGGGUUCUGCCACAAGGUACAGCCUUCUGCUUUUAUUGAUCACUGUGGAUGGAUGGACGGAUGGACGGAUGACCACUCUCAGUACAGUGAAGGGAAUUAAGAGGAGGAAGAUAAGAACAGGUGGAGGCCACACAACUUUUUUCGCAGCAAAGAAGCAACUAUACCAGCAGAGACCUCUUCAGAACCAAAGUAAGACUUUUUUUCCAGUUUGAAUGGAAAUGGACUGCCUUCGAUCCUGACUUAUGGGUUUUUAUGUGAAUAUCCAUGUCUCAACCUGCCAUCAUGCAUGUGGGGAGGCAGAGAAGAAGUGCUGCAGGAAAAACCCUCUAGCCUUUCUGAGUAUCGUACCUCUGCAACAGGACUUGGCAUAACAGUCUCAAAUUUCUUGCAGUAGGAACACAGCUGAUCAUCAGCCUGGCUUAAUGUAUCCUUCACCAUCUUCCAAAAAUCAGCUGCAGGAAGAUGCCUGUAUGGCAGCUGUAAAGAAGAACCGUAGAAUUAGAAGGAGCUUUUUGGAAAGCAGGGAGAAAGUAUUUAUUAAAAAAAAUAAAGAUGAGAUUUGUAACAAACAAAGUUUUGCUAGAGCUUGCUGUAGGUUUGCAAUCUAGAUCCAUCCCAUUGUGUACUCAAUAAGUCUGCACUAGUUUUUCUAAUAUACCGAGGGAAGCUUUCUCAGUAGUGAGACAUGUUUUUUCAACACAAGGUCAAGAUGGAGAUAGGAUAGAUCUGCACUUUGUGCUAAAUGUAAAGAGUUACAUGACAGUGUAUGUGCUCUGAAUAACACAAUUGCUAUCUAUAAUCAUUUUUUCAAUGCUAUUAGUUCAUAUUUUUAUUUUAUUGUUAGUUCAUAUAAUAGUUCAUCAUUAAUUAGCUCAUGCAAGU